GCCGAUGUGGUGGAAUAGGUAGACACAACAGACUUAAAAUCUGUUGAGCUUUUAGCUCGUACCGGUUCAAGUCCGGUCAUCGGUACUA
rnacentral:tRNA from 1 species